AGAUCCUGUGGCCGAUAGUGGCAGCAGCAGCCCGGCUCUAAUUAGAUAUGCCAGGCGGGCUGCGAGCAGUCACUCCGCGCCGUACGGCGAGAGAGGAGGCAGGCUGAGGAGGAGGACAGGGGAAUAUCUGCUCAUCUGGCCGGCCGGCCGGCGGGAGCCUUCCUCUGGGCACACACCAGGUGAUCAACGCUGUGAGGCAUCGAGACAAGAACGGAGGAGAAAAAGGAAGCGGGCGCGUCUUUCAGAGUUCUCCAUGUCAGCCGUACGGAAACCUUUCUGCUCCGGAGUCUGGAGCAACCAUGAAGCUGAGGAGGAAGAGGAGGAAGAGGCAGCGUUCAUAUGGAAUCAUUGUGCUGCAGGAUUACAAACUAUGGAGGAUUGGAUCGGACCGGCUGCAGGGCGACCAUCGUGGAUUUGCUCACAGCGGGAGAGACGGAUCUGGCUAAAGAUUAGUUCCUGAUUUCCAGCGGUUGGAGUGAAACCAGAAGUGUUCUGCACUCGGGACUCGCGGAGAGAAGACAAGCGGAGCUCCAGACAGAGAGCGAGGCUGCGCGGCUCCGCUCGCCCGGCGAAGGAGCCCGGCCGUCGGAUCCGAACCGCGCGGACUCCCGGGGGCUACGGAGGGGAGGCGGCAUGCGGGACGGGACGCAGCCGGACCUGGAGCAGCUGCCGCCGGACUCAUUUGGGCCGCGGCGACGGCUGAAGAUUUCCGGGGAAGUUGAGCGAAACGGCGUUUAAUUUGUGCCAAUCAAGAGGAGAGGAAGACAAGUCUCGAAGUGGCAGCAAGUUGAACUGCGAUGGAGAGGAGAAGCCCGGAGCGUGUGGCUCUGCGUGUCCGUGUGCAUUUACGUAACAUGAGAUUAAAGACGCGCCCUGGCAGCGAUUGAACCAGACGGCAGAAACUGGGACCAGGUGAUGCUGAUGGAGGAACGUCAUCGGCUCAACAAAUGAAGAAGAUUUCACACUCCAACACACACAGUGGAUGUGUAAAACUGUUUCCAGGUAAAGAGAAGCAGUGACUGUGCUGGUGCAGUGAUGGGAUGAUGUGAGCAGCGCUGUAUCUGCCGGCCCCCAGAGCUUCCUUUGUGCUGCUGGAAUUAACUACGACUCGUCACGUGUAACCGACUGCUAACCUCCAACCCCAUUCAGGAAUCGUCGCCUGUGUGUGUGAGAGGGGCAGAGAAAGGAAGAGGUCAAGCUGUCACAAACACAAGCAAAAUCAUUGUUCCCAAUGGAAAAGCACAGAUCCACUCCAACCAGAACAAACACCGACGGAUACACUUUCAAAGAACUGUAGAUCUCUACUCUGAAUCUAAUGGAAAUCAAACAUGAUUUGAUGAAACUGCACAUAUUAAAAUAAACUGAAAUGUGGUGUAAUUUCAACUGAAAUUUGAUGUAGUGUUAUAAUCAUUUACUUAGCAAACUCAGUCAAACAUUGAUUUAGCAAUUUCUUUAUAAAUUAUUUGAUUUUCUUCAAUGACUAUUAUGAGCUCUUUUGUUUUUUCAACAAUAAGACUGUCAUUAAGUUCACAGUAGGAUCUAUAGAUCAGGGGUGGGCAGUCCUGGUCCUGGAGGGCCGGUUUCCUGCAACUUUUAGAUGUUUCUCUACUUCAACACACCUGAGUCAAAUAACGAGGUCAUUAGCAGGAGGACCUGACUGCACUUUAGAGGUGAUUCAGCUGUUGGAUUCAGGUGUGUUGGACCAGGCAGACAUCUAAGAGUUGUGGCUCCCAGUAGAUCAGGAUUGGCCAACCCUGAUCUAUAGACACGUUGCAGUGUGAGAUCCCGCCCCCUGCUGCUAGCUGACGAUGACUAGCAUUGGUUUUAGCGGUCAAGUUGCCAACAUAAAGAGCUAAAUCUUAAAUGUAUGGGUGAUAUAUAAGAGUAAACAGAUGCAGUGUUUACUCUGUUUAUUUUGUGAUUAUUAGCUAAUCUAACACAGCUGUGGCUGAUUAGCUAAUUUAAUCACCUGCUCAACUGACAAUCUGUCAGAGUUGGUGUUUAGGUCGCCUUUUUUUUAACUAAACUGAAACACCAAAUUCAGCAGCACUUCUACAUGUUAGUUUGUCAUAGUCAAGCUAGCAUAAAUUAGCUACUUCCCUGUCCCUUGCUAUUGUUUUUGUAAAUUAAAACUUUUUCCUGAUCUUGUUAUCUGUCUGUUGUAUUGUAGCAAAGCACUGUGUCCCUUUUUCUUUAAGAUAUCACAAGUACAUUUAAUACUUAAAUGUAUCUGAGACUCUAAACAACUUUCAUUUAUAGACAAAUAACCAUCUUUAAAUAGUUAUUUAAAGAUGGUUCUCUUAUUAAAAGCUUAUGUUAUUUAAAGCUUUAAACCAAUGAUAUCCUCCUUACUAGAGUGUCUCUCUCUGCACGGUUAAUGAAGAAGAGUCGUGAAUAAGUGCGGGUUGUGUGUGAGGAUGAAGGCAUCGACCGCCUGAUGAUACGAAUCACAAUACAGCCUCAGUCUGAGACACAACAGCAGACAAAACGCUUUUCUUCUCAUUUAUUUCUAAUAAAUCAGAAGGAACUCAGUUAUGUCAAAUCCCAUUUUCUCUUGUCUACAGUAUUUUGUAUUUUCUCAGAGGUUUUCUUGCUUUAUGUUAUUUUAAAUAUUUAACUUAACCUUAUUAUUUGACUCAUUUUUGAGCAAAUCUUAAAUUAUCUUGUCUUCCACUGACCUGUCUGUUGUGUUCCUUGGUUGUUUGUUUGCUAAUGUUCUCCAACAAUGUAGAAGAAAUACAUUUCUGGUAAUUAAUGGGAUAAAAUGAGGUUGAAAUGAUAAGAACCUAUAUGGUGCCAAUUUGUCCAUUCAGCAGCCAGGACAGCCCAGACUGGGAGAAUGGCCAAGUGCUUAAGUGGUUUUACACAAAAGUGUUUUCUUUUUUUUAAGCAAUUUGUUUGAAAUUCCUGCCGGUGAAAAGAAAUGUAUUGUAAUGUAAAAACACAUUUGUCACUCAAAACCAUACAUUAAAGGAGGGAAAUGCUGUAAUGGGCAUAAAACCUGAUAUAAGAGGCCUUAUCACGUGGCAGAGCGCAGCAGGAAGGUGUUUAUUAUGCUGUCACAUCUCAGCAGGAGGCAGUAAAAUAAAUGCCUGUUUGCUAAAAAAAAAAAGUGUGUGCUUGGUUGUGUUUUAUUUGGAGAGUUCAAUUCAGUUUAUUUAAAUAGCACCAAUUCACAACACGUUGUCUCAAGGCACUUUGCAUAAAAUAAAAUAA